GAUGAACGCUGGCGGUGUGCCUAACACAUGCAAGUCGAGCGAACGGACGGUAAGCGCGCUUCUUUGAUGUUAGCGGGUGACGGGCGAGUAACACGUGGAUAACCUACUUCUAUUACGUGGAGAACUUCGUGAAACCACAUCCAAUACUGCCGCAUACGUUGAACGGGAGGGAUCAAAAGUGAAUGACGGUUUUCGUGUUAGUAAGAGACGAUUCCGCGCUGCAUUAGCUAGUUGGUAAGGUAACGGCCUACCAAGGCAACGAUGCGUAGCCGACCUGAGAGGGUGAUCAGCCACACUGGAACUGAGACACGGUCCAGACUCCUACGGGAGGCAGCAGUGGGGAAUAUUCCACAAUGGGCGAAAGCCUGACGCAGCCACGCCGCGUGGGUGAUGAAGGUCUUCGGGUCGUAAAGCUCUGUUAUUGGGAAAGAACAUCUGUAUAAGAAACUGUCGCCAUCUUGACGGUACCUAAUCAGAAAGCACCGGCUAACUACGUG
rnacentral:rRNA from 1 species